AACAAGAAUCAUGAAGGGGGCAAUAGAAAUUUCUUGAUAAAAAUGUCUUAAAGCCUCGUGGUUUUAUGAGACAACACGAAUCAUGAAGGGGGUAAUAGAAUGACCUCAAGUCCUUAGUGAGCUUUGGAGAUCUUUCUAUGGUCUGUUUUAAUUCGCUUCAUCUAGAUUCAGCUUGAUCCAAUCCACGCCCAUAUCGGUUAUGA